AUUGAACGCUGGCGGCAGGCCUAACACAUGCAAGUCGAACGAGUGGCGGACGGGUGAGUAAUGUCUGGGAAACUGCCUGAUGGAGGGGGAUAACUACUGGAAACGGUAGCUAAUACCGCAUACCAUCAGAUGUGCCCAGAUGGGAUUAGCUAGUUGGUGGGGUAACGGCUCACCAAGGCGACGAUCCCUAGCUGGUCUGAGAGGAUGACCAGCCACCCUGAAACUGAAACAGGGUCCAGAUCCCUACGGGGGGCAACAGUGGGGAAUAUUGCACAAUGGGGGCAAGCCUGAGGCAGCCAGGCGGGGUGUAGGAAGAAGGCCUUCGGGUGGUAAAGUACUUUCAGCGGGGAGGCGUUACCCGCAGAAGAAGCACCGGCGAACUCCGGGCCAGCAGCCGCGGUAAAC
rnacentral:rRNA from 1 species